rnacentral:rRNA from 1 species
CGGGGCAACCUGGCGACGAGUGGCGAACGGGUGAGUAAUGUAUCGGAACGUGCCCAGUUGUGGGGGAUAACUGCUCGAAAGAGCAGCUAAUACCGCAUACGACCUGAGGGUGAAAGCGGGGGAUCGCAAGACCUCGCGCAAUUGGAGCGGCCGAUAUCAGAUUAGGUAGUUGGUGGGGUAAAGGCUCACCAAGCCAACGAUCUGUAGCUGGUCUGAGAGGACGACCAGCCACACUGGGACUGAGACACGGCCCAGACUCCUACGGGAGGCAGCAGUGGGGAAUUUUGGACAAUGGACGCAAGUCUGAUCCAGCCAUGCCGCGUGCGGGAAGAAGGCCUUCGGGUUGUAAACCGCUUUUGUCAGGGAAGAAACGCUCUGGGUUAAUACCUCGGGGUAAUGACGGUACCUGAAGAAUAAGCACCGGCUAACUACGUGCCAGCAGCCGCGGUAAUACGUAGGGUGCAAGCGUUAAUCGGAAUUACUGGGCGUAAAGCGUGCGCAGGCGGUUAUGCAAGACAGAGGUGAAAUCCCCGGGCUCAACCUGGGAACUGCCUUUGUGACUGCAUAGCUAGAGUACGGUAGAGGGGGAUGGAAUUCCGCGUGUAGCAGUG